rnacentral:rRNA from 1 species
GGCUCAGGAUGAACGCUAGCUACAGGCUUAACACAUGCAAGUCGAGGGGAAACGACAUCGAAAGCUUGCUUUUGAUGGGCGUCGACCGGCGCACGGGUGAGUAACGCGUAUCCAACCUGCCCACCACUUGGGGAUAACCUUGCGAAAGUAAGACUAAUACCCAAUGAUAUCUCUAGAAGACAUCUGAAGGAGAUUAAAGAUUUAUCGGUGAUGGAUGGGGAUGCGUCUGAUUAGCUUGUUGGCGGGGUAACGGCCCACCAAGGCGACGAUCAGUAGGGGUUCUGAGAGGAAGGUCCCCCACAUUGGAACUGAGACACGGUCCAAACUCCUACGGGAGGCAGCAGUGAGGAAUAUUGGUCAAUGGGCGAGAGCCUGAACCAGCCAAGUAGCGUGCAGGAUGACGGCCCUAUGGGUUGUAAACUGCUUUUAUAAGGGAAUAAAGUGAGCCUCGUGAGGCUUUUUGCAUGUACCUUAUGAAUAAGGACCGGCUAAUUCCGUGCCAGCAGCCGCGGUAAUACGGAAGGUCCGGGCGUUAUCCGGAUUUAUUGGGUUUAAAGGGAGCGUAGGCCGGAGAUUAAGCGUGUUGUGAAAUGUAGACGCUCAACGUCUGCACUGCAGCGCGAACUGGUUUCCUUGAGUACGCACAAAGUGGGCGGAAUUCGUGGUGUAGCGGUGAAAUGCUUAGAUAUCACGAAGAACUCCGAUUGCGAAGGCAGCUCACUGGAGCGCAACUGACGCUGAAGCUCGAAAGUGCGGGUAUCGAACAGGAUUAGAUACCCUGGUAGUCCGCACGGUAAACGAUGGAUGCCCGCUGUUGGUCUGAAUAGGUCAGCGGCCAAGCGAAAGCAUUAAGCAUCCCACCUGGGGAGUACGCCGGCAACGGUGAAACUCAAAGGAAUUGACGGAAGG